GAAUCUUAGACAAUGGGGGAAACCCUGAUCUAGCCAUGCCGCGUGAGCGAUGAAGGCCUUAGGGUUGUAAAGCUCUUUCAGCUGGGAAGAUAAUGACUGUACCAGCAGAAGAAGCCCCGGCUAACUCCGUGCCAGCAGCCGCGGUAAUACGGAGGGGGCUAGCGUUGUUCGGAAUUCCUGGGCGUAAAGCGCACGUAGGCGGACCGGAAAGUCAGAGGUGAAAUCCCAGGGCUCAACCUUGGAACUGCCUUUGAAACUCCUGGUCUUGAGGUCGAGAGAGGUGAGUGGAAUUCCGAGUGUAGAGGUGAAAUUCGUAGAUAUUCGGAGGAACACCAGUGGCGAAGGCGGCUCACUGGCUCGAUACUGACGCUGAGGUGCGAAAGCGUGGGGAGCAAACAG
rnacentral:rRNA from 1 species